GACGAACGCUGGCGGCAUGCCUAAUACAUGCAAGUCGAACGAGCUGACAGAGUGCUUGCACUCUCGACGCGAGUGGCGGACGGGUGAGUAACACGUGGGAAACCUACCUAUAAGUAUGGGAUAACAUUCGGAAACGGAUGCUAAUACCAUAUAGAUUUUAGUUCCGCAUGGAACUGAAAGAAAAGACGGCUUUGCUGUCGCUUAUAGAUGGUCCCGCGGCGCAUUAGCUAGUUGGUGAGAUAAAAGCUCACCAAGGCUAUGAUGCGUAGCCGACCUGAGAGGGUAACCGGCCACACUGGGACUGAGACACGGCCCAG
rnacentral:rRNA from 1 species